ensembl:lncRNA
GGGGGCAGGGGAUAUCCAGGUGGGUGAUUAUGGGUGGAGGGGGGGCAGUUGGAGGUGUACAGGGGAUAUCCAGGUGGGUGAUUAUGGGUGGAGGGGUACAGGGGAUAUCCAGGUGGGUGAUUAUGGGUGGAGGGGUACAGGGGUUAUCCAGGUGGGUGAUUAUGGGUGAAGCUGGGCAGGUGGAGGGGUACAGGGGAUAUCCAGGUGGGUGAUUAUGGGUGGAGGGGUACAGGGGAUAUCCAGGUGGGUGAUUAUGGGUGGAGGGGUACAGGGGAUAUCCAGGUGGGUGAUUAUGGGUGAAGCUGGGCAGGUGGAGGGGUACAGGGGAUAUCCAGGUGGGUGAUUAUGGGUGGAGGGGGGCACUUCUCAGUCUGAAGUGUCUGAGUGUACACUGCUCUGUGCCUUGGUGGGAGGGUGGGGGUCCGGGCCGUCCUGCCUUCCACUGUUAACCUGUAAAAGACACAAUGGGGGAGGGAGUGAGAGAGGAGACCAAGACUUC